rnacentral:rRNA from 1 species
AACGAACGCUGGCGGCAUGCCUAACACAUGCAAGUCGAACGAGACCUUCGGGUCUAGUGGCGCACGGGUGCGUAACGCGUGGGAACCUGCCCUUAGGUUCGGAAUAACUCCCCGAAAGGGGUGCUAAUACCGGAUAAUGUCUUCGGACCAAAGGUUUAUCGCCUUUGGAUGGGCCCGCGUUGGAUUAGCUAGUUGGUAGGGUAAAAGCCUACCAAGGCGACGAUCCAUAGCUGGGCUGAGAGGAUGAUCAGCCACACUGGGACUGAGACACGGCCCAGACUCCUACGGGAGGCAGCAGUGGGGAAUAUUGGACAAUGGGCGGAAGGCUGAUCCAGCAAGGCCGCGUGAGUGAUGAAGGCCUUAGGGUUGUAAAGCUCUUUUACCCGGGAUGAUAAUGACAGUACCGGGAGAAUAAGCUCCGGCUAACUCCGUG